GAAAUGCGAUAAUUAAUGUGAAUUGCAGAAUUCAGUGAAUCAUCGAGUCUUUGAACGCACAUUGCGCCCCCUGGUAUUCCGGGGGGCAUACCUGUCCGAGCGUCAUUGCUGCCCUCAAGCACGGCUUGUGUGUUGGGCUUCCGUCCCUGGCAACGGGGACGGUCCCAAAAGGCAGUGGCGGCACCAUGUCUGGUCCUCGAGCGUAUGGGGCUUUGUCACCCGCUCCCGUAGGUCCAGCUGGCAGCUAGCCUCGCAACCAAUCUUUUUAACCAGGUUGACCUCGGAUCAGGUAGGGAUACCCGCUGAACUUAAGC
rnacentral:misc_RNA from 1 species